CUGCUCCUCAGCCGUGGGCGUAUUGCCGUUGGAUGCCUUCUGCUUGGGCCCCGACCCCUGCUCUGGGGACGCCUCCUGCUUCUGUGUGUUGGCAGCCCCUUCCUCCUCCUUCGCCUGCUGCUGCUCUGAGUUCUCAGGGUCCACCGCUGGGCUCUUCUCGGGGCCGCUCCGCGCUGCCUCCACCUGCGCCGCCGGCCCCGCCCCCGUGACGUCACGCGCACCGCCCCCGCGCCGUCGGCCACGCCCACCCCGUGCCGGCCCCGCCCACCGGCACAGCGUCGCGGGGAGCGCCCGGCGGCGGCGCUGCAGUGGGCGGGGCGGGCAGGUGCGGAGUGACGUCACGGGGCGGUGGGCGGGAAAUCUCCCCGCGAGGGUUCGGGGUCGCGCGGCUGGACUCCGUGACGUCACCGCGCCAUGUAAGGAGCGCGGAGCCCCGCACACACCCCCCCACCCACGCGUACCGGCGGUGCCGCGGGCUGCGCAGUCCGUCCCCGCGCACAGCGGACCCCGCGCCGCUUCUGCACGCCGUACGACGGUCCCGCGGCGCCGGGGGGGGCGCGGGCGAUCCGUGACCGCGGGGCAGCCGAUAAGGACACGCCCGGGGCUAUCGCAGCCGUGCACGCGGCCGCCGCUGAUACGGGAGGGGCAGCGCCGGGAGGGCUCCACCCCAACCCCCCCCCCACGGCCCCCGCCUGCUGUGAUGGGGGUUGCGGGCGGCCGCGUGAGCCGCUGAGCUGCCGCGAAGCCCCCCGAAGGCCCCGCGCCGCCCCCCGGGCUCUGCGCCGUUCCCGCCGGGCGCCGCGCGCAGCGCUGCCGGCUGUGAUCCUCAGCGGCGUUACGGAGUGCCGCGCCGCCACCGCGAGGAGAACUGCGGCUGCAAAGGCGCCCGUGAGACACCGCAGCCAUCCCCUGCGGGACGGGGAGCCCUCGGAAGCCCCCGGAAACCCCUCCCAAAGGGCUGCGAGGAUGCGGGAGGGAGACAGAAAAUAAAGAGGUUUAUUGGCGCGGGGUAAAGCGCGACCUCAGCUGAGUUCGGCGCUCGGAACGCAUAAAGUGAUGAGAAAAGCCCCGCACUGAGCUGGGGGGCAAAGAGGAGAAUCUGCAACCCGGAACCGCCCCGAGUGGGGUUAGGAUACAAAACCGUACAAAGACCUCUGAAAAAAGAACGUCAGAAACCGUCGGAUCAUUUACAGUUUGCAGUGAUACACAGCGGGCUGAUGGGGGCUGCAGAGGGCCAACAGCUGCUGGGUUUGGAUCAGCCCGGACCCACAGCUUUGCUUUGGGACGGGAGUGGGGAUGGAGAAGGGCUGAGCGCUGCGGCACGGCCCGGAAUCCCGCUGGGCUGCAGCAGUGGGGAUGAGGAGAGGGGUGGGGAGGACGGAAGGCACGCGAGGCCGAGCUCUGCCCUGAGUGAGCCGAAGCACAGCUCCUGCAGGGCUGCUUCUGAAGGGACUACAAAGGGGACAACGGGACGCGGUCACUGCACUGACACUGCCAUGGGGACACCUUCUAUUCCCCGCUCCACACCAGAAAUGCUCCUUGGAUCUGAAGGAGGAAACUACACCCGGUUGGGUCUCCUCCUCUCUGAAGGACCCUCCCAGGCUCUGAAGGACGGCAGUGUUGCUGCAGUGACACCUCACAGCCUCCUUAUGCCUCUGGCUUUGCUGCCGUCCUCAAUGCACACGAGGCUAAAAGGAGUUUAAAUGUAAAAAGAAAAGACAGCCUUGAGCUGUGCAGAGAAUAGGGCAUCCCGGCCCCUCCAGGAGCAAAGAGCUGCUGUUGGAAAGCGUGAAGCAGGGCAAAGGGUGGCCACGGCGGUGGGGAGAGCUUUUGCUGACUUGAUGGAUUUAAUUAACCAAAAAUAAUUAAAAGGUUCAGUGGGAGCUCAGCAUGGGGCCUCAGCACUUUCCUCAUUGAGACGCUUUGCAGCAGCACACACCAGAGCCCCACGCUGCUGGCAAUGGGCUGGCAGUGCUUGCUGCCUCUGACCUCCUGGGCUUCCCCUGCCCCAUUCUCUGGGCUGCCUGCAUGGUGUGGGCAGCUGAAUGGCACAGGGUGCUGUGCCCACUGCGCUCUCUCUGCAGCCAGGCCGGAGCCAAAUGGCUUUAGUCCGCUCUCCCACCCAGUCUAUGGGAGAACAGAUCAAGGUGGCAGCUCCCAGCUGCUCUGCUGAGCUCUGCACAGAUGUGUGCUGUCGGUCAGCAGCGUGGCACAGAUGGGGCUGAUCCCUCAUCCACUGUAUUA
rnacentral:lncRNA from 1 species